AGCAUGGACACUUAGAGAACAAAAGGACAAGAUAAUAAAGUACACAAUGAUUCUUUGCAUCAGAAGGAUGUGGUUCAUGACAAUGACUUUCAGCCCUACCUUUCUGGAGAGUCAAAUUAGAGUAACAAUUACCCUUCAGUGAGUGACCUCUACCUGUCCGGCUAUUACCCACCAUCCACUGGAGUUCCUUAAUCCCUCAAUGAGGCUCUGUGGUCCACUGCAAGGGACCCUUUGAUUCUACACCUCAUCACCUAUGAACAGCUCAGUAACAGAGAUCAUAAUUUUAUGCACAAUUCUAUUUUGGGGUGGCCUUGGGGUCCGGAGAACAAAAUCUAUCAGCACAGGUUUAAUUUUUACCCCCAAACCCUGUAUUCUUGGCAUGGAGGACAAGUGGGUCUCAAGGGUAGCAGAUUCAGAGCUCUACAUAUGGGAGCAGCUACACCUACCCCCAAGCUCCCUGGGCCACGCAGUGGUUGAUGGGCAGAUGGGCUUUCACAGCGACACCCUUAGCAAGGCCCCUGGGGUGAACAGCCUGAAGCAGGGCAUAGUCAGCCUGAAAAUUGGGGAUGUCAUCUCCUCUGCAGUCAAGACAGUGGGCUCUGUCAUCAGCAGUGUGGCACUGAUUGGCAUACUUUCUGGCAAUGAUGGGACAUAUGUGAACAUGGCAGUUUCAAAGCUGACCUCAUGGGCCGCCAUUGCCAGCAAGCCUGCAAAACCACGGCCUAAAAUGGAAACAAGGAGUGGGCCUGUCAUAGGGGGGUGCAUUGCCCCCUCCAUCUAUAAAGCAUAACAUGGGUAUUGACACCCAGGAUAACAAGGGGCCUGUGCUGAAGACCCCGGCCCCCCAGGAGACAUGAUCCUCACAGGCUGUCCUACAACCCCAGAAGGUGCUUCAGCUUCUCCCAGUGAAGCUUCCUGCUUUGGCUCAACCACAGUAUCAGAGCCCUCAGCAGCCAUUCCAGACCUGCUGGAUCAUUCCUCACGUGGAAAUAUGGCAUUUGGGCAGAGCAGAGGGGCUGACAGUGGUAGUAACUCUCCUGGAAAUACCAAGACUAAUUCUGCCCCAAGUAUAAAAAAAAGUGAAAGCUGCCCACAGUUAUAAUCCUAAAGAAUUUGACUGGAAUCUUAAAAGUGGACAUGUACGCAUUAUAAAGAGCUAUUCUGAGGAUGACAUUCACCACUCCAUUAAGUACUCCCUUUUGUGUAGUACAGAACAUGGCACUACUUAGUUGAAUAGUGCAUUCAGCUCCAUAAGCAGCAAGGGGCCUGUCUGCCUGCUCUUUGGCAUCAGUGGGAGUGAGUAUUUCUGUGGGGUGGCGGAGAUGAAGUGCUCUGUGGACAGCAGCACCAGUGCCGGAGUCUGGUCUCAAGACAAAUGGAAGGGGAAGUUUGAUGUCGAGUGGAUUUUUGUCAGUGAUGUACCCAAUAACGAGCUCAGGCACAUCAGACUGGAGAAUCAUGACAACAAGCCAGUCAUAAACCAUGACACACAGGAGGUGCCUUUAGAAAAAGAAAAACAAGUGCUGAAAAUUAUUGCUUCCUACAAGCACACAACCUUUAUCUUUGAUGACUUUUCUCACUACGCGAAAUGCUAGGACGAUGAGGAGGUGAUGUGCAAGGAAUGACACAAUCAAAAUAAACAAUAA
rnacentral:lncRNA from 1 species